AGGAAUUGUUUAAAAGUGUUUCUAACUGUCUCCUUAGCGUUGGCUCACAGGUCUGAAUCACAGAGAAAAGAGCCUCCCUGCGAAGCUGACAGUUCAAAGAUACAAAGGAAAAAUUUGCAAGGACACACAUGGAAAACUUGAGUUGUGCUCAAGUAAAUUUGAUUCACUGUAAAUGUCACUGCAGAUAAAGCUUUUCAAGAAGGGUGCAAGAGUAGACAGGACUUGGAGGAUCAGCUAGUAACCUGCUGGACACAUGGAUAGGUCAUGUGGAUUCCUUACACGGCAGGAAGUUGGAAGUUGGACAACCUACUUGGAUUUCAUCCGUAAGACCAUGGACAACAUAUAUUGGAAUGGUUGUUUGGAUUUAGAAUGAAGAGAUGAACAGGACCAGAAAGUCAAAGAGUGUGAUUUGAGGCUGCUGUCUGAAUGACAAACAAGUGAAAGGACAAGACGUGUCUGAAAAGAACAAAAGCCCCAAGAAAACCCUGAAGCGCUUUUCCAUUCCUGCAGAGAAUAACCCUCCAGGAGUCAAAAAAAAAAAAAAAAAAAAAAAAAAAAAAAAAAAAAAAAAAAAACACCUCUGAACACCCUAACAGAAGUGCCCUUUGAGGCUUCCAAGUCAAGAAAGUCUUCCCCUAAAUUUAAGACUCCCUUCUACCCCACUCAAUUUGGAGCACUCAGCUGAAGGGCUCUGUGCUCUAACCAUCAGAAGAUAAUUCAGAGGCCUGUAGCCUAGAGCAGCUUCCUCUUGUUAGGGACAGAAAUAGAAGGAGUCCUUUCCCAAGAUAUUCCAAAUGGUUUUGUCCAAGGGAGACUUUCAAUUGACUUUGGUUGCCUCAGAUCUUAUCUCAAUAUGGCACUCACACAUAGAAUCAAAGCUUUUGUGUGUGCUGAAGUUCUGCGGCAGCUAGGAGAACAGUUGUUCAGAUUGGACAAUUAUGGCUAUGCAACACUUCUACAGGAUUGGUUUUACAAAGAACUGUACUCGCUGGUUUUGAGACCAAAUAGGGUUUUCUGAGACUGAAGUCACACUCCAAAAUUAAGGUACUGUAUGUUUAAAAAAAAAAAAAAAGUAGCUCUAUAAAUGAAAUGUCAAAAUCUGGUAAUUACAUGAAAGACAUUGUGAAAAACAUGUGACAUACUGGUUUUUAUCAGUUGUGAAAAUGUUGAGGACACAGUUCCUCUUCCUUGUUUUUACUUAACUGCUCAGAUUUUCAACUCUUGCUCAGGAAAACAUUCUCUGACAAUUUUGUAUCUGUGGGUACAUAGGCUUCCCAAUACUUCAUUCUUUAUUUUUUCAAAUAAUUUGUUCUCAUACAACUUUUCUUAGAAAAAAUUAUCACCUCUCCAAAAAGUUUGUAAAAAAAACCUCUGAGUUUCUGAAGCUGAAGCAGGAGAGUGAAACUGGAAAUGGAUUGAGGACUACUGCACAGAUGCUGUGGGGAAGGCGGACAAGGCAGUCUUUAAGACUGUUCUACCAUACACCAGGGGCUCUCAGCUGCUUGAGCUCUUACAGUAAGGGGCCCUUACAUCUUCUGACUCACAGAGGCCUAAGCACAGUGUUGUAUCUGGCCAUUUUUUUGAGGACAGUCCACAUCACCAUGCCACCACUGCACAGGAUAUUCUGCAGCAAGGCUUCUUUGUGGUUGUUGCCUACAGAGACUCAGAGGCACUCAGUCAGGCUCUUCCAUUUAUGACGCUGUUGUUCUUACUGUUAAGUCAAGAAACGUCUUUAGAUUUAAUUUCCUUUCCAUUAUAAUCUAUAACAGGGUAAUAUCAUGGUUCCUUCUGCCACACUCUCAAGCACAUAUAAUAUCUGGUGUGUGGGAAAUAAAGACAUAAUGUCAUUUCUGAUUUGGUUGUCUUCUCUCCUUAAUAUUUUAAUAGAUGCCUAAUGUAACUUUUAUGUUCAGAAAGAGUUCAUUAGUUUACAAAUUAGCAGCCUGAAGUGAAUUUUGCUACCAUUGAGUGACUUUCCAUUUCUAGCAAUAUGCUUGUUUGGAUUUUUCUUUUUUAGGAUUAGUGUUUAUAAAAUAUUAGCGAGAUGAAUCAUUCAACUACAUAAACUAUUGAGACAUCUACAAUCAGUUCUUCCUCUUAUUGUCUGCUCUUCUACCCACACCUUAUGCCACUUCCAAACUCAAAACCCUCCCCACCAUUUUUGCUGCUGACAGAAGAAAAUGUUGUAUCUCUGCAUCUGAUUCAGGAAGGCAGGUUAAGGAGAUUAGAUAGGCUGGAUUAAAAAAAAAAAAACUGUUGAUGACAUGGUAAACUUCACUCUGAAAGCUGCUCAGUGUCUGCCUCUAAAGUUUAAGAGACUGCCACUGGCCUUAGGUAGCUUCCAAAGUGUGAGGCUAAAAGAUCAAUGACCAGAGCCUCCUCAGGUGUGAAAAGACAGCCUAAAAACUGAAAUCUUGGAAGAGACUUCAAAGAAGUAGAUUGAAUUAAUAAACAAAACCAAAAGCAAAUCAACAACAACAACUCUUAGGAGACAGAUCUAUAUAUUUUCCUGGUAUUACAAAGGCCAGUUUGAUGGCACUGACAGAAUAUCUUCAGGUUCUCUUCAUGCCUGGAAUGUUUAACUAGUCUUAUGAACUGCAUUCAUGUCAACACUGGAAGUUCUUGAGUAAGAACGACUAAGAACAUAAAAGUGUUCAGUGAAAAGAAUUGAGAAAGUUCUGCUGAAUUUCAGCAACUGACCUCCAGUGAGUUUGGAUUCUCCCCUCCCUCCCCCCCCCUCCCAUAUUUUUUUGUUUUUAAUAAGAUGAAGCACGUGAGGAAGAAGAAUAAUCCAAGGCAACAAAGGAUUACGAGAGGAAGGUAACCUACUAUGUUAAAUGUAUUUUCAGGCCAGUCCUGCUUAAGGACCACCUGAUGUCAGCAGCUUGCUGUAGUAAAACCAGUGGGAAUGAAGGGCAAAAUCAGGUCCCCGUAGUAUAGAAAGAAGGGCUUCAUAGCAAGAAAAGAGAAAGCAGCUUCACAAGGUAGACAUAAGGGGCAAAUAGAGAGAGUUUAUGUAGAGAGUAUUAGAAAACAAGGGAUUCCAAGCACUUUCACGGGUGCUAGGUCCGGAAUAACAAGGAGAAUGAAGGCCAUAAAGAUAAGGACCGGAGAACAGCUCGAAAACAUUUGGCAGGGAGGUGAUUAGAUGUCUGAAGUGCAAGCUGAAACCAGUUAGAGGGAUGCCCCCCCUUCGGGGUCAGAAGUUGGCAGUGAGGAAGACUACGAGCCUUCGCGAGGAAGAUUACGAGCCUUCAUCAUCACAACCUACUACGCACGCGCAAGGAGGGGAGGGACUGUAUGCUAAUGAGCUCUCGGGAAUGUAGUGAAUAUGUAUCCGAAUUCCUGUCAACUACUGAUUAUGUAUUAGUUUGACCUAUAUCUAUAGCACGAUUUCUUUGGACGGUGUGCAAGUUAGGUGGAACGAUCCCCCUUGCACCAGGGUGUACGCGCGUCACUAAUAAACACAUACCUGCU
rnacentral:lncRNA from 1 species